UCCUCACGUGUGCAGUUAACAUCUUGCAACAAGUUGAUUUGUGGCUAGCAUCUGUGACUGGAACCACAAAGUACAAUGUUGAACAGGGAAAUUCAUGUCUCAGCCACACAUUAUGGGUGAAUUGGAUGCCUGCUUACAAAACUUUGAGCAUUGUGAAGACUGCUUGCACAGGGAUUAUUAUCAGGUGUGUGGAGUAAG